UACGGAGGGUGCAAGCGUUAAUCGGAAUUACUGGGCGUAAAGCGUGCGCAGGCGGUUUGUUAAGUCUGUUGUGAAAUCCCCGGGCUCAACCUGGGAAUGGCGAUGGAUACUGGGCAGCUAGAGUGUGUCAGAGGAUGGUGGAAUUCCCGGUGUAGCGGUGAAAUGCGUAGAGAUCGGGAGGAACAUCAGUGGCGAAGGCGGCCAUCUGGGACAACACUGACGCUGAAGCACGAAAGCGUGGGGAGCAAACAGG
rnacentral:rRNA from 1 species